AUUGAACGCUGGCGGCAGGCCUAACACAUGCAAGUCGAGCGGAUGAAGGGUGCUUGUUCCUGGAUCCCGCGUCGGACGGGUGAGUAAUGCAUAGGAGUAUGCUUGGCUGUGGGGGAUAACGUCUGGAAAAGGGCGCUACUACUGCAUAAGACCUGCGGGAGAAAGAGGGGGAUCUUUGGACAUCACGCUAUCAGAUGAGUCUAGGUCGGAUUGGCUAGCUGGUGGGGUAAAGGCCUACCAAGGCGACGAUCCGUAACUGGUCUGCGAGGAGGAUCGGUCACACGGGAACUGAGACACGGUCCUGGCUCCUACGAUAGGCAGCAGUCGGGAAUGGGAGGCAGUAGGCGGGAACCUUGUCCAGCCAGGCCGCGUGUGUGGAGGAAGUCUUCGGAUUGUAAAGCACGUUUAGUGGGGAUGAAGGGCAGUAGGUUAAUACCUUGCUUUUGUGACGGUACCGGCAGAAGAAGCACCGGCUAACUACGUG
rnacentral:rRNA from 1 species